AUUGAACGCUGGCGGCAGGCCUAACACAUGCAAGUCGAACGGUAGCACAGAGAGCUUGCUCUCGGGUGACGAGUGGCGGACGGGUGAGUAAUGUCUGGGAAACUGCCCGAUGGAGGGGGAUAACUACUGGAAACGGUAGCUAAUACCGCAUAACGCCUUCGGACCAAAGUGGGGGACCUUCGGGCCUCAUGCCAUCAGAUGUGCCCAGAUGGGAUUAGCUGGUAGGUGGGGUAACGGCUCACCUAGGCGACGAUCCCUAGCUGGUCUGAGAGGAUGACCAGCCACACUGGAACUGAGACACGGUCCAGACUCCUACGGGAGGCAGCAGUGGGGAAUAUUGCACAAUGGGCGCAAGCCUGAUGCAGCCAUGCCGCGUGUGUGAAGAAGGCCUUCGGGUUGUAAAGCACUUUCAGCGGGGAGGAAGGCGGUGAGGUUAACAACCUCAUCGAUUGACGUUACCCGCAGAAGAAGCACCGGCUAACUCCGUGCCAGCCGCCGCAGUAA
rnacentral:rRNA from 1 species